CAAACCCAAGGACUCAUAUUUCGUACGUUGUCCAAGGAGACACCUAGGAAAGUGUGACUUUUGCCCUGAAGACCUGUAACAGUAAAUUCCAUUGAGCCUGAUGCAUCCUCUAAAAUCAUCAGGGGAUGCGUGUUAUAGUUUCCAGAAGAGGAACAACAGAGUUGAAUCAAUUUAAUACCGUGCCUCAUCUGACUGUGUGUGUAAUACAUAGGAAAUGAGAAAAGAGGGAGGAAAGGAGCAGUUGAACACUUACUGAGGAAUGACAAGCGCUCGAGUGGUUUGAAAGCUCCUGGCAUGGUACCUGGGGCUCAUACCAACCUAGAAAAGAUCUUGGUAGAGUCUCAAACUGGGCUUCAGCAAGCACAGUUUGAGCUCCAAUGUAACAAGAAUUCACAUGAAUGAUUGAUUUUACACAUGCAAACCACCCUUGCAAAAGCAGUGGAAAUACUCAGAUACAUAUGUCUUUGCCAGACUAAGACUUAGAAGUUAAUGCAGUUUGUGCAUUUCAGUUUCCCACAUGAAAUAAUUAUUUUCUAAUGCAGCAUGUGAUGGGAAGGAGAGCGGAUAUCCUAAAGAAUUUUAUUAUGUGCAUGGAAGCAUUUCAGCCUCUGUUUAAAAGGGAUAAAAAAAAAAAAAGCAACAUGUGAGUCUGAAAGCAAGAAAGCGUUUUCCUGCUAAAGAACUUCUGACUGAGCAUGUUUAAACGAAUGCUUCACAGGACCAUCUGUUGAAAAAGAGUGCUCUAUUUAAUUUGGUGUAUUAGAAAUUUAUUUUCAAUGCAAAGACAAAACUAAAAAGAGUAAUUUUGUUGUUUUGCAGAGAGUUGGAUUGAACGAUGUCUCAAUGAAAGUGAAAACAAACGUUAUUCCAGUCACACCUCUCUGGGGAAUGUUUCUAACGAUGAAAAUGAGGAAAAAGAAAAUAAUAGAGCAUCGAAACCACACUCAACUCCAGCUACUCUGCAAUGGUAAGAUGCCUUUAAAAAAAAUCAAGACGGUGUUUUUCCCUACCCUCUUUAUCAUGAGAAGUGGAUAG
rnacentral:lncRNA from 1 species